rnacentral:lncRNA from 1 species
GUAGACCAGGCUGGUCUUGAACUCACUGAAAUAUACCUGCUUUUGCUGGGGAAAAAGAUCAAAAUGUGAGUUCUUAUAUGUUUCUGCUGCUAUGCUUUUGGUCUACCAUCAUAGAAUCUAACCCUCUGAAACCAUAUGCCCAGCUAAGCAUUCUCUUUUGUAAGUUGUUUUGGUCAUGGUACUUUGUCAGAGCAGUACAAAAGUAACUAAGACAAUUGCCAUCUACUGGAAGAAGAAGCUACUCUGAUAAGGACUGAAAGAUGCACUCAUCUAUGGAUAUAAUGUAGCAUGAAAUAGCAAUUUUCCCACAAGUGAAAGCUAGCCAGUAGAGUUGAAUCUUCCAUAGUGAACCUGCCUGCAUAGAGUGGACCCACCCAGACAGGAAGGACCUCCAUGAGUCUGGAAAUACCGCACUCUUUCUUCCCUCUUCGCCCUGAUCUCUGCUGAGAUUGGUGCCUACCCCAAUUGUCAUCAGAGAGGCUUCAUCCAGUAACUGAUGGAAACAGAUGCAAAGACACACAUGCAGAUGUU